rnacentral:lncRNA from 1 species
UUGGUAAUCAGGCCAAGUGAUAUGGGUUUAGCCCACUAAAUAUUAGAGAUUGGAUUGAAUUUGGGCCCAUUUGAUAUAUUUAUAUUUUUAUUAAAUAAAGUGACGAAAAUAAAUAAAAAAUUAAAUAAAAGUGUUCAUCUCCUUCCUAGCUAAGCAAUCCAAUUCUCUAAAAAUAAGAAACACUCUCAUCAACAACCUCUCAUCUCAAAAACCCCUCUCAAAACUCUCCUACACUCUCAAAAGGCUUCCCUCCCAACAAAAUACACUUCAAGAAAAAAACACUCUCAAUUAAUCUCAUACAACAAAAGCACUCCUCCUUGAUCCUCAUCUUCCUCCAUAAGCCCUCUCCUUCAUCCCCUGCUGAGAGAUCAAAACAAGUAGAUCGCUAGUGAGUUCGCAACUAAAAACGAUAGAUGGAUCCAACAAUCAAGGCUUACUGCAUACGUGGGAAACGCAUUGAAAUACCUAAAGAUCGAGACACUAUCUUGAUGUUCAGUUAUUUCAAUUGUUAUUCACCCUUCUAUACACCCAAGAAAAGACACUUCAAGAAAAAAACACUCUCAAUUAAUCUCAUACAACAAAAGCACUCCUCCUUGAUCCUCAUCUUCCUCCAUAAGCCCUCUCCUUCUUCCCCUGUUGAGAGAUGAAAACAAGUAGAUCGCUAGUGAGUUCGCAACUAAAAACGAUAGAUGGAUCCAACAAUCAAGGCUUACUGCAUACGUGGGAAACGCAUUGAAAUACCUAAAGAUCGAGACACUAUCUUGAUGUUCAGUUAUUUCAAUUGUUAUUCACCCUUCUAUACAGCAUGCUAAGACCAACCGACAUAGGUUCACAUCAAUUUCGGCGGCUAUAUAGAUGUUGUUUUAUUAACUUUGCUUACAUAUGAACUAAAAACUAACUAAAAAAAUUGACACAUUUAUUUCAUGUUUUAGUUCAUGUUAUGCUACUAAGUCAUAAAUUUACAUUACUGCUAUUGGUCUAAACCAGUCAUUUGGGCUAGUUUUCUUUUGUUCUAUCUACAACAACCAAGUCAAAUAGUAUGAUUUAGCCACCAGUACACACGGAAAUCAACGCCCAACAGCCAUAAACCAAGCCAGAAUCGUAAAACCAGCAGUUUACCUCUCCUAAACUCAGAUUUUAUCCAUCUCCUUGUCUACUGAUCUCCUCCAAGGGGAAGUAUAGGCGUCAACCCAGAUUCGAUAUGACAAUCAAAAUCGAAAUACAUCAGGUCGGGGAUUGUGGGAAAUUUAAAUUAAAACAAUUGUGGGAGUCGAGACAGAAGGAUUUUCGUUACCUUCAAUUCGCAGGGGCCCAGCCGGACUAUGACGACUCAUGGAGGCGGAUGACGACGGAGAGCUUCCAUUCCAGCUGAUUUUCCUAAACCACUUCACCCAAAUCAAGAUCCAAAUCGAAAGAGAAAAAUAAACCGUGGUCAAAUCUCCGAUCCAAAAGUUGAGCUAGAACGGAAAAAUUGUAGAUGUUAGGAAGAGUAUGUUUUACAUGUGUUUUUUGCAUAAUCCAGUGAUUCAGCGGUGACGAGAAGAUGAACUGGAGGCGGCCACGAUUCUAGGGCCGAUCGACAAUGGGGAGAUCGCAAGAGAGAAGCCAUAAAUCGCGACAUCAAAUUUAGACUACGACAGCUUCUAAACGGCGAGAUCGAUGGCAUGCAAGGCUGGCGACGACGGUUGAGUCAACAUCGAUGAUGACCACCACGAUUUUCAGAAGCAGCUUCUCGAUGAUGAAAAAGAUAGAGAAGAGAGGUAACUCCUAUUUUAUAUGCUUCUUUUUUUUGAGAUGGUUAAGAACAAAAAGAAGAAGAGAGAAAAGAAAAAGAGAGGAAAUGGAGGAGAGGCAGCGGCAAGAGGAACAAAAAAAAGUAGGAAAGAAGAUGAAGGAUUCUGAAAAUUCAGAAAAAAUUGAGAGAGUAGGAGGAGAGAUGCGAGAGAAUUAUUGAGUUAGAGAGAGAAGAAGGAAGCUAAAAAUGAG